rnacentral:lncRNA from 1 species
UUGGUUUCUUCCUCUCUUUUUCUAAGUUUUUCUCUCAAUGCCUAAACUCAUCCGUGCACCAAGAUAAAAAAAACCACCACCUCUCCACACACCAUCUACCAUCCGAGAUGCCGAUCCGAAGUAACGCUUAAAGGUGCUUUAAUUCUGGAUUCGCGAAGUUCUACCAUGGAUUAGAAUCGCAACCAUCUGCAGCGACCUAACUUCUCUAAGGUCG